rnacentral:rRNA from 1 species
GGGUUGUGAGGUUAAGCGACUAAGCGUACACGGUGGAUGCCCUGGCAGUCAGAGGCGAUGAAGGACGUGCUAAUCUGCGAUAAGCGUCGGUAAGGUGAUAUGAACCGUUAUAACCGGCGAUUUCCGAAUGGGGAAACCCAGUGUGAUUCGUCACACUAUCAUUAACUGAAUCCAUAGGUUAAUGAGGCGAACCGGGGGAACUGAAACAUCUAAGUACCCCGAGGAAAAGAAAUCAACCGAGAUUCCCCCAGUAGCGGCGAGCGAACGGGGAGCAGCCCAGAGCCUGAAUCAGUGUGUGUGUUAGUGGAAGCGUCUGGAAAGGCGCGCGAUACAGGGUGACAGCCCCGUACACAAAAAUGCACAUACUGUGAGCUCGAUGAGUAGGGCGGGACACGUGGUAUCCUGUCUGAAUAUGGGGGGACCAUCCUCCAAGGCUAAAUACUCCUGACUGACCGAUAGUGAACCAGUACCGUGAGGGAAAGGCGAAAAGAACCCCGGCGAGGGGAGUGAAAAAGAACCUGAAACCGUGUACGUACAAGCAGUGGGAGCACAGAGCAAUCUGUGUGACUGCGUACCUUUUGUAUAAUGGGUCAGCGACUUAUAUUCUGUAGCAAGGUUAACCGAAUAGGGGAGCCGAAGGGAAACCGAGUCUUAACUGGGCGUUAAGUUGCAGGGUAUAGACCCGAAACCCGGUGAUCUAGCCAUGGGCAGGUUGAAGGUUGGGUAACACUAACUGGAGGACCGAACCGACUAAUGUUGAAAAAUUAGCGGAUGACUUGUGGCUGGGGGUGAAAGGCCAAUCAAACCGGGAGAUAGCUGGUUCUCCCCGAAAGCUAUUUAGGUAGCGCCUCGUGAAUUCAUCUCCGGGGGUAGAGCACUGUUUCGGCAAGGGGGUCAUCCCGACUUACCAACCCGAUGCAAACUGCGAAUACCGGAGAAUGUUAUCACGGGAGACACACGGCGGGUGCUAACGUCCGUCGUGAAGAGGGAAACAACCCAGACCGCCAGCUAAGGUCCCAAAGUCAUGGUUAAGUGGGAAACGAUGUGGGAAGGCCCAGACAGCCAGGAUGUUGGCUUAGAAGCAGCCAUCAUUUAAAGAAAGCGUAAUAGCUCACUGGUCGAGUCGGCCUGCGCGGAAGAUGUAACGGGGCUAAACCAUGCACCGAAGCUGCGGCAGCGACGCUUAUGCGUUGUUGGGUAGGGGAGCGUUCUGUAAGCCUGUGAAGGUGUACUGUGAGGUAUGCUGGAGGUAUCAGAAGUGCGAAUGCUGACAUAAGUAACGAUAAAGCGGGUGAAAAGCCCGCUCGCCGGAAGACCAAGGGUUCCUGUCCAACGUUAAUCGGGGCAGGGUGAGUCGACCCCUAAGGCGAGGCCGAAAGGCGUAGUCGAUGGGAAACAGGUUAAUAUUCCUGUACUUGGUGUUACUGCGAAGGGGGGACGGAGAAGGCUAUGUUGGCCGGGCGACGGUUGUCCCGGUUUAAGCGUGUAGGCUGGUUUUCCAGGCAAAUCCGGAAAAUCAAGGCUGAGGCGUGAUGACGAGGCACUACGGUGCUGAAGCAACAAAUGCCCUGCUUCCAGGAAAAGCCUCUAAGCAUCAGGUAACAUCAAAUCGUACCCCAAACCGACACAGGUGGUCAGGUAGAGAAUACCAAGGCGCUUGAGAGAACUCGGGUGAAGGAACUAGGCAAAAUGGUGCCGUAACUUCGGGAGAAGGCACGCUGAUAUGUAGGUGAAGUCCCUCGCGGAUGGAGCUGAAAUCAGUCGAAGAUACCAGCUGGCUGCAACUGUUUAUUAAAAACACAGCACUGUGCAAACACGAAAGUGGACGUAUACGGUGUGACGCCUGCCCGGUGCCGGAAGGUUAAUUGAUGGGGUUAGCGCAAGCGAAGCUCUUGAUCGAAGCCCCGGUAAACGGCGGCCGUAACUAUAACGGUCCUAAGGUAGCGAAAUUCCUUGUCGGGUAAGUUCCGACCUGCACGAAUGGCGUAAUGAUGGCCAGGCUGUCUCCACCCGAGACUCAGUGAAAUUGAACUCGCUGUGAAGAUGCAGUGUACCCGCGGCAAGACGGAAAGACCCCGUGAACCUUUACUAUAGCUUGACACUGAACAUUGAGCCUUGAUGUGUAGGAUAGGUGGGAGGCUUUGAAGUGUGGACGCCAGUCUGCAUGGAGCCGACCUUGAAAUACCACCCUUUAAUGUUUGAUGUUCUAACGUGGACCCGUAAUCCGGGUUGCGGACAGUGUCUGGUGGGUAGUUUGACUGGGGCGGUCUCCUCCUAAAGAGUAACGGAGGAGCACGAAGGUUGGCUAAUCCUGGUCGGACAUCAGGAGGUUAGUGCAAUGGCAUAAGCCAGCUUGACUGCGAGCGUGACGGCGCGAGCAGGUGCGAAAGCAGGUCAUAGUGAUCCGGUGGUUCUGAAUGGAAGGGCCAUCGCUCAACGGAUAAAAGGUACUCCGGGGAUAACAGGCUGAUACCGCCCAAGAGUUCAUAUCGACGGCGGUGUUUGGCACCUCGAUGUCGGCUCAUCACAUCCUGGGGCUGAAGUAGGUCCCAAGGGUAUGGCUGUUCGCCAUUUAAAGUGGUACGCGAGCUGGGUUUAGAACGUCGUGAGACAGUUCGGUCCCUAUCUGCCGUGGGCGCUGGAGAAUUGAGGGGGGCUGCUCCUAGUACGAGAGGACCGGAGUGGACGCAUCACUGGUGUUCGGGUUGUCAUGCCAAUGGCACUGCCCGGUAGCUAAAUGCGGAAGAGAUAAGUGCUGAAAGCAUCUAAGCACGAAACUUGCCCCGAGAUGAGUUCUCCCUGACUCCUUGAGAGUCCUGAAGGAACGUUGAAGACGACGACGUUGAUAGGCCGGGUGUGUAAGCGCAGCGAUGCGUUGAGCUAACCGGUACUAAUGAACCGUGAGGCUUAACCUUACAACGCCGAAGCUGUU